AGGAAAGGUGAAAAGAACCCCGGGAGGGGAGUGAAAGAGAACCUGAAACCCUGUGUCUACAAGCUGUGGAAGUACUUUAUAUGUACAACCGCGUACUUUUUGUAGAACGGUCCGGCGAGUUACAUGGUGUGGCAAGGUUAAGCACGGAAAGUGUGGAGCCGAAGGGAAACCGAGUCUUAAGAGGGCGUGAAGUCACAUAGUGUAGACCCGAAACCGGGUGACCUACCCAUGUCCAGGUUGAAGCUGCUGUAAAAGGCGGUGGAGGACCGAACACACAUCCGUUGAAAAGGGUGGUGAUGAGGUGUGGGUAGCGGAGAAAUUCCAAUCGAACCCGGAGAUAGCUGGUUCUCCUCGAAAUAGUUUUAGGACUAGCCUGUUAUUAGUCUGCCGGAGGUAGAGCACUGAAUUCUUAAGGGGGCGUCAAAGCUUACCAAGAGAUAUCAAACUCCGAAUGCCGGCCAGAUGAUGUAACGGAGUCAGACUGCACGAGAUAAGUUGGGUAGUCAAAAGGGAAAGAGCCCAGACCACCGGCUAAGGUCCCAAAGUGCGUGUUAAGUGGAAAAGGAUGUGGGAAUUCGAAGACAACUAGGAUGUUGGCUCAGAAGCAGCCAUACAUUCAAAGAGUGCGUAACAGCUCACUAGUCGAGAGUUCCUGCGCCGAAAAUGUCCGGGGCUGAAACACGACACCGAAGCCGUGGAAUCACGUAAGUGAUUGGUAGAGGAGCAUUCGCUGCACGACGAAGCUGUACCGGAAGGAGCAGUGGAGAGCAGUGAAGAGAGAAUGCCGGAAUGAGUAGCGAGAGAUAGGUGAGAAUCCUAUCGGCCGAAUAUCUAAGGUUUCCAGAGUAAAGCUGAUCUGCUCUGGGUAAGUCGGGACCUAAGGCGAGGUCGAAAGACGUAGUCGAUGGACAACUGGUUGAGAUUCCAGUACUUCAAUAUAUCAGAACUGUGGGGACACAGCCACAAAGCAUUAGCCGGGAAUGGAAAGACCGGUGCAAGCACAGGAGGCGUACGGCAGGCAAAUCCGCCGUAUAAGCCGGAGGUGUGAAGCGGAGCGAACAUAAGGGUAGCGAAGAAUGCAGAGUGGCUGUCGGGAAAAGCCGCUAUCGUGUAUAUUGAACCCGUACCGUAAACCGACACAGGUGGAUGAGGAGAGAAUCCUAAGGCCGACGGAAGAAGCAUUGUUAAGGAAUUCGGCAAAAUAGCCCCGUAACUUCGGGAGAAGGGGUGCCUGGGAAACCAGGCCGCAGAGAAUUGGCCCAAGCAACUGUUUAGCAAAAACACAGGUUUAUGCGAAACCGAAAGGUGAAGUAUAUGAGCUGACGCCUGCCCGGUGCUGGAAGGUUAAGGGGAGAGCUUAGGAGCAAUCCGAAGGUUCGAACUUAAGCCCCAGUAAACGGCGGCCGUAACUAUAACGGUCCUAAGGUAGCGAAAUUCCUUGUCGGGUAAGUUCCG
rnacentral:rRNA from 1 species